UACAGAGGGUGCAAGCGUUGUUCGGAAUUAUUGGGCGUAAAGCGCGUGUAGGCGGCUUUGCAAGUCGGGUGUGAAAGCCCUCAGCUCAACUGAGGAAGUGCGCCCGAAACUGCAGAGCUUGAGUGCCGGAGAGGGUGGCGGAAUUCCCCAAGUAGAGGUGAAAAUUCGUAGAUAUUGGGAGGAACACCAGUGGCGAAGGCGGCUCACUGGACCGGAACUGACGCUGAGGCGCGAAAGCGUGGGGAGCAAACAGG
rnacentral:rRNA from 1 species